GGAGACACCGUCGGUGCUGGGAGGGGCCACGGUGCUCUUCGCUCGGCUCGCACUCCGCUGGUGCCGCUCGGGUGCCUGCCUGCUCUGGGGGAAGGCAAGGUGCGGGGUUGGUGGAGCGCGGAUCGCCGCCUUCUGCCCUUCUCCGCGCGGCAGUGGUUGCGUUUAGCACGAGGAUGUGGAGCGGCAGCUUCCUGCCGAGUAAUUCGGGAGAAGCAGUGCCAAUUCCCAAAUGAUUUCGUUUUUAACUGCUGAUAAAUCACAUCUCUCUAUGUAGCAACCUGGCCCACGGGCUGCAGUCCUUCGAAAUGCAGAGGUUAGAGAAGUGAUGAAAAAUGGGCACAUGCACAGAGUUCCUCUCAGCAGCAGCAGCACUGACGGGAAAGUUACAGUAACUGAUGGAUAAGCGUGAGUUGUCUGUUUCUGAUGCUCUGCCUUUUGCACGUGUAUGGGCAGAUGUGUGAGCACAGUGUGUGUGGCUUCCUCACACAGCAGAGUAGGAGGUAAAUGAAAAUCGAUGUACCUGUGCUCUUCCGAACACCCCACGUUUUCCGAUGAGGCCAAAGGAAGAUGUAGUGAAGCUAACAAGAAUGAGCCGUGGUUCUUCAUUCUUUUAUAGUGAUGUUCAAGAAGGCCGCAAGCAGUAGGUCUGGUGGUCGAGUCUCAGAGACAGAAAUAUUUUUCUUGCAACACAAGCUUUUCAUUCAGCUUGUGUCAUCAUAUUCUGUGAAAUGUGUAGAUGGGGGACGUGGUUAGUGGGCAUGGUGCUGAUGGGUUGAUGGUUGGACUUAAUGGUCUUUCCAACCAUAAUGAUUCCAUGAUCAAAUGCACUAUUACCAAGGUUUAGCUGCUUCCUCUUUUUCCACCUCUGGCACAAGCUGCCAAAAUAGCAAUGCCAGUACCAGAAGAAGCAGCUCACCACCUUUGUGUGCUAAUAAAAAAGGAGCCAGAGAGCAAGAUCAUGCUCUUUGCUCCAUGCUCCAUGGGAUGCUGUACCGUGUAAUGCAGUGUCAAUGAAAGGAAGCACUGUUCUCCAGCAUCCCACGCCAUACGGUUAUCCAUGGUGAGUGGCAAUGCAUUCCCUGCAAUAUUUUUAAACAUGGAAGCAACAAAAUGAAGGAACAACACAAGAUGACCAAAGAUUCUUGUAAAGUCUGGAGAACAACUAGCAAUGAGCAAUAUGCAUUUAAGACAUUCAAGGCCAGACUGACUGGGGCCUUGGGCAGUCUAAUCUAGUGGGUGGCAACCAGCCAAUGGGAGGGGAAUGGAACUGGCUGAUUCCUUCCAACCCAAUCCAUUCUAAGAUUCUUCAAAUCUGUUAAAACUGUUUUCAUAUAAUAAACACCCUGUUGUGAGCCUUAGAUUUCAAAAGGGCUAAUUGGCUUCUUUGAGUAAUAUCUAUUUUUAGAAAGCACUGUGCAUCCACAUAGCAGAAAGUUCUUGCAAGCUUUCUCAAGUAAGUAUCCAAAGCUGCUAGUUACUAUGUCCCAGUGGACGCAGCUGUUGAGUUAGUUAAAAAAAUAAAUUUAAGCAGAUAUUUCUGUGGUUUCCAUCAAGUCAUACAAAAAGAUCAACGUUAAGAGGAACACCGGUGUUUUCAUACCUGGUAGAAAUGCUGUGCUGCAUAUAGAGGUAAGUAAAACUUGGCAGUUAAGUGUAAUUUUUCUGAAGGUUUAUAAAAAGCAAGAUAAAGUACUCCAUCUACUCCAAGAAGUGUAGUGACAACAAGAUAAAUGGGAGUCUCUCCCAGAUACUGCCACCUCAUGAGCGUUCUCUAAGUGGGAGAUAAAGCAGCAUGGCUGUAUAGGUGCUGAGUUACUAUGGACUAAAAAUAGAAACAGUAAAAUAAUGAAGACUGUUGUUGCUUCACUGGCUGGGAUGGGCUGUGAAAUAAGAAGAAUCCUUCAAGUGAAAUUUGAAAAAUAAAUGUCUGUUAAACUUUACAUUAGAGACCAAAACUCAAGGAGAGUGGCUCACCAAAGGAAACUUUAUCAAAAUAUAAAGCAGAAGAAAACCUUAAGAACUCUCCUGCAUCUCAUCAGCCAAAUCCCAGCUGUGAUGACCAGUUCAAUGCAUUAUACAUAUUCUGUGAAUCACAAAGGAAGCUUCUGCAGUGAGAUACCGAACCACACUGCAGCCUGGAAAGCUUGGCAUCUCCUUGCAGCUGUAGGUGUUCGGCUUUCUGAGCUGGAACAACAAUUCACAACGAGGAGCCAAAUGUUUCAGUGUUGCUGGCCAUUCAGUCAGGGAUCCAUAUAAAAAUCGAAGCCAGUGAGACUCUCCUUUUGCUCAGGGGGAUUAUGUACAUAACGCACUCUAAAAGCAUUUUUUUAAAUAUUCCAUUAGCUCUUUAAUUGAAAAGGGCUUCAGAAAGGGCAUUGUACUUCCUUUUUGCUCCAAGUUCUGGAAAAGGAAGAAAAUCCCUUGUAAAGGAAGAUCACAACUCUGUUUACUUUGAAAUUAACUCUGAAACCAUUCCUAUAGACACAAAAACAACUGUGCAUUUACCUUCAGCUGUAUCAUAUGUGAAGAUUAGAGUCCCUCCUGAAAACAAAUGAAAUUAAGAAAUAAUCUUAAAAUCAUCAUUGAUUAGCAAGAGAUACGAUAUUAAUCGUUAUCAAAAAUACAUUUGUUGUAUGUAAUUGUCUUGUUAACAUUUCUUCCAUUCUAGCACUCUGAUGUCUCUUGUAGGAAGAAUUCAAACUUUCAGAUGUAUUUCCUUUUGCUUUGGAUCUUUUGCAUCUAUGGAUCUUUGGAUUUUUUGCAUCUACUGUCACCGAUGUCACUGUCAGCUGAGAAAUACUGACCAGGGAAUCUGACUUUCUGAAAAUCGUCAGGCAGUUCGCCAG
ensembl:lncRNA